rnacentral:lncRNA from 1 species
UCCUUUUGCGAUCAAGACAGAUCGUGGUCGAUAUGACUACAUUGUCGAGUUUGGUGAAACCUUGGUUCCUAAAAACGUUAAACCUUAGACAAUCUGGUUUCGCUAUCUAUGGAUCACUAUAUAUUUUAGGGCUUUUUAAUUUUCAUUCUAAGGUUGUUACUGCACUUUUUUUCUUUUGGGCUAAAACUUAGACUAUUGAUAAUUUAUUCUUUU